rnacentral:rRNA from 1 species
AUGGAAGGUCAUAAACUCUGUGCUCAUUGGCUGGUUGUUGAACUCGGUGGUGCCCCCCAUUGGACGCUCUGUGGAGGGGCUAUCCCAUCCGCUGCGAUAUGGACGACUCUGUCCACCUUGUACUCAGGUAAGGGCAAUGUCAUGCUAAUUGCUCAGAUUGAGGGGAAGAUCAGUCGGCUGCAUCAAGGCGACGACAUGUCAGUGAUGACAUAUGUGGCAGAGCUGCGGGCUUUGUGGGCAGAGCAGGAUAACUGCGACCCUCUGGAACUCUACGAUGCGGCUUGCAUCGAGUCAGGGCGCAAGUGGAUUGCACGCAGGCGUGUGCUGAAACUGUUGGAGGGGCUUAGAGGUUGUUUUCAUGGCAGGAGGGCAUCCCUGUUGCACCAACCUCUCCUUCCCUCUAUUGAGGAGACUAUUGCUGCUAUGUCUCAAGAGGAGGUGCGGCUAUCUCUUGAGCAUGCAGACAUGAAGGCUGUGCCGUCUUCGACAUUUGCAGUCACUGAGCGCAUGGAGUGGAGCGAUCCCAACAAAUGUCAUAUCUGUGGGGAGGCAGGUCACUGGAAGUGGGCGUGUCCAACUCGUGGCAGAGGCAGGGGAUACAACGGAGGGGGAACUGGCAGAGGCAGGAGUGCUAGAGGCAGAGGUGGAUACUCAGGGACCUCAAGGGGUCAGGCUUCUAGGGGCAGAGGUGGCUACUCAGGACACUCAGGGGAUCAGAGGGCUCACAUGACAGUGGAAGGAGACACUAGGACGUCAAAAGGCAAAGAUGCAGAUGAUGUUGACUAUGGAGACUUUGCUCUCUGGGCCUCCACUGAUGAAGGAGCGACAGACGAGCCAGACAGUUGGGACUGGCACCAGGCGUAG